CCCGCCCGGCUUGGGAGGUAGGCUGCAGCGGCGAUGUGGCCCGGGCUCCCUCCGCGAGGGCUGAGAGCGCGAGCGGCGGUGUGGACGAGCGAGUCCAGGUCCGCGCGGGAGCCUGGGCCGGGGCGAGCCGGGGGUGGAGAGGCUCCAGUGUGCACGGUAUCCCGGGGCAUCCGUGGACGGCUCGGCUGCUCUCCUAGAUCCCGAACUCGGAGCCCCGAGCUGGCGGCGGGAGCAGGCCGAGGUCUCGGGAGGAUAACGGGGAGGCCCGGGGAGUGUUGGUUCCUGAGCUGUGCGGUCCGACCGUGCCCGGUGCAGCGAUGCCGCUCGUCCAUCUCCCGUCCUGGGCUUUUGGGUUCUGCUUCUAUGUCUGCAGCGCUAGUCCGCCGGGUGCUUUAGUGCUGGGGUCGGUGGGAACUCGCCCGACAUCCAUCGCCCCGGGGGCAGUUGAGGUCAUUUGUCACUUUUCAUCCGAAACUCUGGCUCUGCGUCUCGGUGGGUCGAUGCGCAGCUAUAGCCUGCAGGCAAAGUUUCUGUUUGGGCGUUAAAUGUACCAGAGCCCGUAUUGAAGCACACUGGGAGGAUCAGCCAAAAUGGUUCUUAAGCGAUUAGUUCUGUUUUCUGUAUAGUAAGAUUCCAAUAGUUAUGUAAAUGUGUGUGUAAUUAGAAAUGUACAAUAGAGCCUGGGGCCUUAAACCUACCUGUUAUUACUGUCUGACACACUAAAUGGUUUGUAGUGUGCACACCUGGAGGUAGGAAAUUUCCAGCCUUCGCUGGUGCUGCUACUUUUAUUGUGAAAAUUGUGGUAAAACACCCUGUUGCAAUCAGUUUUGACCGUGUGUUUCUUGACAUUUCUGGGUUUUCUAAAGAGCUUGUUGUAUGAUUAGACAUUUUUUAGUUUUCUAAGGAGAAUUGGAAGCUCAGUAUAGAAUGAUGGAGCUGAACAUUUUGUUUCUCUCCCCAAAUAAUUGUGUGUGUAUAAAAAUUAUGUAGCUUUUAAAUAUUGCUGUUUUCAAGAACAGCUUCCAAAAAUGGUUAUUGAGCAUAUGAACAUUACAGUGUUAAUAGAUGCAAAAUAAUUCUCCUGAUAGUUUUUUUUAUUUUGUCUUCUAGAGCGAAAUGUCAUCGGGGGAAUCACACCAGGAGCAGCUGUCUCAGUCAGAUCCGUCCCCAUCCCCGAACUCUUGUAGUUCCUUCGAACUCAUAGACAUGGACGCCAGUAGUUCCUAUGAACCCGUUUCUCCACAUUGGUUUUAUUGUAAGGUACUAGAUUCCAAGGAGCUCUGGAUUCCUUUCAACUCUGAGGAUUCACAGCAGCUGGAAGACGCAUAUGGCUCUGGUAGGAAGAAACUGAUGACUCUAAUAAAAACUAACAAGUAAUAUCCUCUACUGUGAUAGCCACUAACAUGAAAUUUCAGAAUUACACCAUUUUCAUCCUUUUAAAACUGUAUUAAAUUUCUGCAUAGUUAUCAAGUAUUUUUCUCUAUUCUAGCUUGUGUUUGACUUUUUAGUCAGAAAGUUUGUGUGUAGAGUCGUCACAUUGCAGACUGAGCUAACAUGUCGCUUUUGUUCUCAUGUAACAAAGUGUUAGUGAGGAUAUAUCAUAAUUGCUAUUAAUUUGCCUUUAAUCCAAGUAAAAACUUCAGAAAAAAUCUAUGUAUGUAUCUGUAUGAGACUGUGAGUGUGUGUGUAUAAGUGUGUAUAAGAGGCAUUAUUGUCUUAGAAGAGGAAAAAUGUUCAGCUAGUAUUUGCUUUUUUCAUUAAAAUAUAAUUGGUUUGAAAUACUAAAAAUUACUCAUGAAAAAAAUAUGAGCAAAAAAAAAGAAAAAGGAUGAGUG
rnacentral:lncRNA from 1 species